rnacentral:rRNA from 1 species
GAUGAACGCUAGCGACAGGCUUAACACAUGCAAGUCGAGGGGCAGCAUAAAAGUAGCAAUACUUUGGUGGCGACCGGCGCACGGGUGAGUAACGCGUAUGCAACCUACCUAUCAGAGGGGAAUAACCCGGCGAAAGUCGGACUAAUACCGCAUAAAACAGGGGCACCGCACGGUGAUAUUUGUUAAAGAAAUUCGCUGAUAGAUGGGCAUGCGUUCCAUUAGGUAGUUGGUGAGGUAACGGCUCACCAAGCCGACGAUGGGUAGGGGAACUGAGAGGUUUGACACCGACACUGGUACUGAAACACGGACCAGGCUGCUACGGGAGGCAGCAGUGAGGAAUAUUAGUCAAUGGGCGGUAGCCUGAACCAGCCGAGUCGCGUGAAGGAAGAAGGAUCUAUGGUUCGUAAACUUCUUUUUCAGGGGAAUAAAGUGCAGGACGUGUCCUGUUUUGUAUGUACCCUGAGAAUAAGGAUCGGCUAACUCCGUGCCAGCAGCCGCGGUAACAC